GGCACUGCCAUGGGCAAAAAAUUUGCACCGGCAUAUGCCAACAUCUUCAUGGCCGAAUGGGAGACCUCCGCCCUGGCAGCCUGCAACAAAAAACCAUUACAUUAUUAUAGAUAUCUGGAUGAUAUCUGGGGGGUCUGGCCCCACUCUAUGGAAGAAUUUGACCAAUUUGUACUCACCUUGAAUAAUCACAACCCGUCCAUCACACUGAAGUCCACCACUAGCACCACGUCGGUCGACUUCCUGGAUACCACCACCUACAAGGGGAUCAAUUUCCAGCAUACAAACAAAUUAGACAUUAAAGUUUUCUUCAAAGAAACAGACACCCAUGCCCUGCUUUAUAAGACCAGCCACCACCCCAAACACACAUAUAGGGGCCUUUUGAAAUCACAAUUACUCCGUUUCCACCGUAUCUGCACACACAAAAGUGACUUCAUGGCGGCCACAAAAACGCUUUUCAGAGCUCUCGCCACCAGGGGCUAUGUACGCUCCUUCCGGCGGAAGGCCCUCAGCACCUUUCUGGAAACAAAACCAGUAGACACGUCGGAUGUACUCCCCUUCGUCACCACCUAUUCCAAGCCAGCAAUCGCUCUGUGCAGAAAAAUCAAAGAAAAUUUCCAACAAAAAAUCAUUGAUCCGGGACUCCUCAAUAACCACAGGUUCAUAGCAGCCUAUAGGAAAAACAAAAACCUCCAGGACCAUCUGGUGACAGCCAAAGUUAAGCCCCUAUCGACCUCAAAAUCCAGAGGCCAUGGCCAAUUUUUCAAACAUGCCACCUGGAUCCACAGCCAUGUCAAUAAAACAGUCCAUAAGACCAUGGCAUGUGGCAAUCCACACUCCAAAAAUUGCGUGUAUCUUAUUUCAUGUCUUAUGUGCGGCCUACAGUAUGUGGGCGAGACCAGAAACACGCUCUUACAGCGGUUCACCCAACACCGCUACAACAUCCAGAGGCGGAGGGAAACCCACACGCCUCUGGUCAGCCAUUUUCUGGCCCAUGGAUGGUCGUCUGUCCGGGCCACGAUCAUCCAGAUGGACCCCAGCUGGAACGCCACACAGAGAACCCGAGCUGAAAGGACAUGGAUAAGAAAAUUAGAAACAUUACACCCCAAAGGCCUCAACCUCAAAUAAGAGCUUUCCUGAUCUGGAGCAGGAUGGCCCGUGCAUGGAGCCUCGACACCGCUGCGCGGUGCCGAGACUCAUCCACUUUCUCUAUCCUAACCCUUUUAUUGAAAAAGACAUGGGAAAAAACAGUUAGAGAAAAUCACCACAUGGAGGAGGAACACGGAUUUUCAGAAAGGGAGGGGCUCAGAGCAUAAAAGGGAGCAACGGACAUUUUGAAUUCAGUUUGGCACGGCCCUCUGAGGGAGCCACAUGUCCCCAGAGGGGCACACUGUUAGGGGAUAACUACCUCAACUAAAUACUUACCUCAACUAAAUACUUACCUCAACUAAAGGGAUUACUUACCUCCACUAAAGGGAAUACUUACCUCCACUAAAGGGAAUACUUACCUCCACUAAAGGGAAUACUUACCUCUACCGGAAAAGAAAUAAAACCUGUAUGUCAUGGCCGCCUGAAGAAGUCCC
rnacentral:lncRNA from 15 species